rnacentral:lncRNA from 1 species
UUUGGUUCAUUUCUUUUCACUUUCACUCACAUCCCAAUCCCAAGAUCAAAAGAAUUUAAGUUCACAAACCCAACAACCAUCCUAGAGGCUAGCCUAAAUGAGGUCCUAAUGCUAGCCAAAGAUGAGAACAACUCAUUGUCGCUCCUAAUACUCUCAAAAUUUUGCACAUGACAUGCUAUCAAUAAAAGGCCUCACUCAAGCAAAUUAAUGUUGGUUUCAAAGAAUGGUGAGGGUUAAUGGGUAUGAAGUGUCAUUUGGGUUAACAAAGAUUGGUACAAAGAGAGAAAGAUAACCCAAAUGUGUAUAAUAUCCAUGAUCAAGUAUGCAAAUGCCCAUAUGCAAGAGAGAUUAAGUUCAUUAAGCCCUAGUUCAUUUGGAGUUUGUUUCAAGAACAAUGCCAAUCAUCAAGCAAACAACAUGUUUCAAGAAGAGUUUUCAAGGCUCGAAGCUUACAAGCUUUUUCAAGAGAUGCUUAAGCUACUUGAUAUGUUUAGCUAGGAUGUCAAAUUGAGUUCUAGACAUGUGUUCUUUACAAGGUUUCUCCCAAUGCAUGAAUGCAAUCUAAAUGCUUCUAGACUCAAUCCUAAAGAUUCAAAUGGAUCAAGUGAAACUACAUGAAGAUUUUUAAAAAAAAAUCAAAUUUUUAUGAAUUUUCUAUGCAAAU